rnacentral:rRNA from 1 species
GUAGGUGGCCAAGCGUGGUCCGGAACUUUGGGCGUAAAGGGCUCGCAGGCGGUUUCUUAAGUCUGAUGUGAAAGCCCCCGGCUCAACCCGGGGAGGGUCAUUGGAAACUGGGGAACUUGAGUGCAGAAGAGGAGAGUGGAAUUCCCACGUGUAGCGGUGAAAUGCGUAGAGAUGUGGAGGAACACCCAGUGGCGAAGGCGACUCUCUGGUCUGUAACUGACGCUGAGGAGCGAAAGCGUGGGGAGCGAACAGGAUUAGAUACCCUGGUAGUCCACGCCGUAAACGAUGAGUGCUAAGUGUUAGGGGGUUUCCGCCCCUUAGUGCUGCAGCUAACGCAUUAAGCACUCCGCCUGGGGAGUACGGUCGCAAGACUGAAACUCAAAGGAAUUGACGGGGGCCCGCACAAGCGGUGGAGCAUGUGGUUUAAUUCGAAGCAACGCGAAGAACCUUACCAGGUCUUGACAUCCUCUGACAAUCCUAGAGAUAGGACGUCCCCUUCGGGGGCAGAGUGACAGGUGGUGCAUGGUUGUCGUCAGCUCGUGUCGUGAGAUGUUGGGUUAAGUCCCGCAACGAGCGCAACCCUUGAUCUUAGUUGCCAGCAUUCAGUUGGGCACUCUAAGGUGACUGCCGGUGACAAACCGGAGGAAGGUGGGGAUGACGUCAAAUCAUCAUGCCCCUUAUGACCUGGGCUACACACGUGCUACAAUGGACAGAACAAAGGGCAGCGAAACCGCGAGGUUAAGCCAAUCCCACAAAUCUGUUCUCAGUUCGGAUCGCAGUCUGCAACUCGACUGCGGAAUGCUGGAAUCGCUAGUAAUCGCGGAUCAGCAGGCCGCGGGAAACGAUUGUUUUU